rnacentral:precursor_RNA from 15 species
GAGGCAAAGGAGACAAGGCCCAGGUGCUUUCAAGUCACUUGUCUACCAUUAGUAGAUGGUUGUGCAUUGUUUCAAAAAUGGUACCCUAGUGACUACAAUGCCCCAGAACUAGCAUCAUCACCAAAGCG